rnacentral:rRNA from 1 species
AUUGAACGCUGGCGGCAUGCCUUACACAUGCGAGUCGAACGGUAACGCGGGGCAACCUGGCGACGAGUGGCGAACGGGUGAGUAAUGUAUCGGAACGUGCCCAGUUGUGGGGGAUAACUGCUCGAAAGAGCAGCUAAUACCGCAUACGACCUGAGGGUGAAAGCGGGGGAUCGCAAGACCUCGCGCAAUUGGAGCGGCCGAUAUCAGAUUAGGUAGUUGGUGGGGUAAAGGCUCACCAAGCCAACGAUCUGUAGCUGGUCUGAGAGGACGACCGACCACGCUGGGACUGAGACACGGCCCAGACUCCUACGGGAGGCAGCAGUGGGGAAUUUUGGAAGAUGGAAGGAAGUCGGCUCCAGCCAUGCAGCGUGCGGGAAGAAGGCCUUCGGGUCGUAAACCGCUUUUGUCAGGGAAGAAACGCUCUGGGUUAAUACCUCGGGGUAAUGACGGUACCUGAAGAAUAAGCACCGGCUAACUACGUGCCAGCCGCCGCCGUAACAC